rnacentral:rRNA from 1 species
AUGAAGAGCAGGAGGCAGAGCGGCCGUGGAGGAGCCAUGCUGCUGCCGGACGGGAACCUCCACAGCAGCGGCAGCAAGAUGGAGCGCAAGGACGUGGAGAAGAACCGGCGGCUGCACAUGAAGGGACUCUGCCUCAAGCUAUCCUCCCUCGUUCCGGCCUCCCCCUCCUCAGACCACCACCUCAGACACUAUUCUUCCUCGCCGCCGUCCAGCAACAAGGACGCGGCGACACAGCUGGACCAGUUGGACAGCGCGGCGGCGUACAUCAAGCAGCUCCGGGGCCGGAUCGACGACCUGAAACGCCGCAAGCAGGCCGCCGUCUCCGGCACCGCUGGCUGCUCAUCCUCCAUCUCCACGGGCGACUACAAGGGAGCUCCUUCAACGGCCACGACAGCGCUGCCGGUGAUCGAGGUGCGGCACCAGGACGGAACUCUGGACGUGGCGCUGGUGAGCGAGGUCGGGCGGCCGUUCCGGCUGCACGAGGUGAUCGCCGUGCUGGAGCAGGAGGGCGCCGAGGUGGUCAGCGCCAGCUUCUCUGUCGUCGGCGACAAGAUCUUCUACACGGUCCAUUCCCAGGCGUUGUACCCCCGCAUCGGCCUCGAGGCCGGCCGCGUCGCCCAAGGGCUGCGCGGCCUCGCCGCAGCCGCAGCCGUCUCGCCGUCGGUCCUCCUGACAUGA